rnacentral:rRNA from 1 species
UACGAAGGGGGCUAGCGUUGCUCGGAAUUACUGGGCGUAAAGGGAGCGUAGGCGGAUAUUUAAGUCGGGGGUGAAAGCCCAGGGCUCAACCCUGGAACUGCCUUCGAUACUGGAUAUCUAGAGUAUGGGAGAGGUGUGUGGAACUCCGAGUGUAGAGGUGAAAUUCGUAGAUAUUCGGAAAGAACACCAGUGGCGAAGGCGAACACACUGG